AUGGUUUGGUUAAAUAAAAAAUAAAAAAAAAUCUGUUCUUAUCAGUUUAAUAUCUGAUACGUCCCCCAUCGGGGGACUACAUAUUAAAUGGAUUUUUCGAACAGGGAGUCGGAAAUGGGGCUUGCUCCGUCCGCUCCACGCAUCGACCCGGUAUUGCAGUACCUCCGGGAACGGUGCAACACUU
rnacentral:snRNA from 1 species